rnacentral:lncRNA from 1 species
GUUUCAAGAAUUAUAUGUGAAUUUUUAUGAUUUAAUUAGUUUUAAAUUUAAGAUCAUGAAUUUAAAUUGUUUAAUUCAUGGAUUUGAGUUACUCUUUAAUAAUUUAAAAUAUUAAAAUCUACUUUAAUAAGAGGAGUCUAAUUGGGGUCUGACCUAAGUCAGGUUGAUCUUCUAGACCUGGUCGACCUAACACUUGUGGCUGGGUAAGAUCCAGCCCAUGUGAUAAGGUACGACCCAACCCAUGUGAGUAGGUAUGAUCCGACCCAUAUGGCUAAGUAUAACUCAGCUCAUGUGGUUAGGCACCGUCACGCGCCCUCGAAUUUUCACAUUCAAGAGGUGUGAAUCUAUUUUAAAAUCGAUAAUAUUAUAAUUCAACAAUAAUCCAGGAUCCAAAUACACAUUUGAGGUCAUUAAGAAAACAUUCAAGUCAAAAUUCACCUUCAUAAUCUACAAUUCAUAAAACCUAUACAGUUUAUAAUCAUACAUCACAUCACUUAAUGAUUCAUAAAAUUCAAAACCAACUCAACUAAACCAUAACCACAUCAUAAAUCUACAAGUGUGAGAAUCUAUACAAUCACAAAACCAACAUGUACCACAUGUUUAUAUCCUUACACAAAUUAAACUUAACAUUCCCAAAAUCCCGACAUGAGAGGUACUUUUCAAACAUUUACAAGAUAUAUAAAUCCAGUUUUGUUGUUAAUAUUUCAUUUCACACAAAAUGUAAUUAUACAAUAACAACCUAUCAACUACGAAAGAUUUGUCCAAAUUCUUCUAGCUUUCCAUUGUCUUAGCCCAAUUUGUGUGAGAAUCUAUAAAAUCACAAAACCAAUAUGUACCACAUGUUUAUAUCCUUACACAAAUUAAACUUAACAUUCCCAAAAUCCCGACAUGAGAGGUACUUUUCAAACAUUUACAAGAUAUAUAAAUCCAGUUUUGUUGUUAAUAUUUCAUUUCACACAAAAUGUAAUUAUACAAUAACAACCUAUCAACUACGAAAGAUUUGUCCAAAUUCUUCUAGCUUUCCAUUGUCUUAGCCCAAUUUAAAUAUUUUAGCGAGCGACAAGCUAUUCUAAAAAAAAUUAUAUAGCAACGGAGUGAGCAUAUAAAGCUCAGAAGCGACUAACAUAUGCAUGGCAAAAGAGGACACUUUCAAACAAACAAGGUAUCAAAAUACAAGGUAGGGAUACAAGAGUUCAUAGAUAGCCACUCAUCGAAUGUAAAAUUACAAUGUUAUUUCGUUCGAAGCAUGUUUUGUUUAUAACAAUUAAGAUUAAUUGGAGCAUAUCAUUGGCGUAACAAAUGACAUAAGAAGCAUUUGGGUGUAUAUCAAAGAUGUAAGAAUGUUUAGGAAUAUAUCAGUGAUAUACGAAACAUUUCGGAGCAUAUCAAUGGCGUAUGAAAUGUUACGGAGCAUAUCAAUGACAUAUGAAAUAUUUCGAAACAUAUUAAUGACAUAUGAAAUGUUAUGGAGCAUAUCAAUAGCAUAUGAGACAUUUCGGAGUAUAUCAAUGGCAUAUGAAAUGUUUCGAGACAUAUUAAUGAUAUAUAAAAUAUUUUGGACCAUAUCAAUAACAAAUGAAAUAGAAGCUCAAAUGCCACAUUUGACGUUUUAUUUAUUUCAUUCUUAUCCAAAGCACAUAUAAAAGCACAUAACUAAAGUUUUGGAUAUCAUAUCAAACACAUAAAAGGUAAAGUGGGAUUCCAAACAUAAUCUCCCACGUUUGGGAUUGUCAUCCAUCCACGUUUAGCUGAAGCCGGAGGGGGCCGGUAGAGCAUCGCGGACUCUAAGCAUACACCCUUUACCAUUUUUGGCAAAG